AGCCUUGUGCUUUGUUGCUUUGCUGCACUGGACUGAUUAGGUGAUGAGAAUGGAUGGGACUAAGACGGCUCAACAAUUACCUUAUGGAAAUCUAAAGACAGCAAACCAUGAACCAGACACACAGAAAGACAAAAACGUUUCCAAGACACACCAGGAGGCAAUGGCAUGUGACAAAGAAUUUGAAUUUUCAGUGGAGACUGUGAGGUUUAAGACUGUAAAGGACACAUGAACCACCGCUGAACCACAGAUCUCAAAGCCCCUGCUUUAGGACUACGGUUUCAAGAGAUCACAUUCUAUGCAAAGAGUGCAAGUAGCUGGGUGCAUUGUUACAUCAUCACAUGAUCACUUGCACACCUGCCAGCUCUUCUGUACAGACAAGUGGUUACUUCUUCACUCAGGAAGAAUUGCCAGACCAUGGUUUCUUCUGCCAGUUCAAUUCCUAUAAUUUUAGUCGU
rnacentral:lncRNA from 10 species